rnacentral:rRNA from 1 species
GAUGAACGCUGGCGGCGUGCCUAAUACAUGCAAGUCGAGCGAACGGACGAGAAGCUUGCUUCUCUGAUGUUAGCGGCGGACGGGUGAGUAACACGUGGAUAACCUACCUAUAAGACUGGGAUAACUUCGGGAAACCGGAGCUAAUACCGGAUAAUAUUUUGAACCGCAUGGUUCAAAAGUGAAAGACGGUCUUGCUGUCACUUAUAGAUGGAUCCGCGCUGCAUUAGCUAGUUGGUAAGGUAACGGCUUACCAAGGCAACGAUGCAUAGCCGACCUGAGAGGGUGAUCGGCCACACUGGAACUGAGACACGGUCCAGACUCCUACGGGAGGCAGCAGUAGGGAAUCUUCCGCAAUGGGCGAAAGCCUGACGGAGCAACGCCGCGUGAGUGAUGAAGGUCUUCGGAUCGUAAAACUCUGUUAUUAGGGAAGAACAUAUGUGUAAGUAACUGUGCACAUCUUGACGGUACCUAAUCAGAAAGCCACGGCUAACUACGUGCCAGCAGCCGCGGUAAUACGUAGGUGGCAAGCGUUAUCCGGAAUUAUUGGGCGUAAAGCGCGCGUAGGCGGUUUUUUAAGUCUGAUGUGAAAGCCCACGGCUCAACCGUGGAGGGUCAUUGGAAACUGGAAAACUUGAGUGCAGAAGAGGAAAGUGGAAUUCCAUGUGUAGCGGUGAAAUGCGCAGAGAUAUGGAGGAACACCAGUGGCGAAGGCGACUUUCUGGUCUGUAACUGACGCUGAUGUGCGAAAGCGUGGGGAUCAAACAGGAUUAGAUACCCUGGUAGUCCACGCCGUAAACGAUGAGUGCUAAGUGUUAGGGGGUUUCCGCCCCUUAGUGCUGCAGCUAACGCAUUAAGCACUCCGCCUGGGGAGUACGACCGCAAGGUUGAAACUCAAAGGAAUUGACGGGGACCCGCACAAGCGGUGGAGCAUGUGGUUUAAUUCGAAGCAACGCAAAGAACCUUACCAAAUCUUGACAUCCUUUGACAACUCUAGAGAUAGAGCCUUCCCCUUCGGGGGACAAAGUGACAGGUGGUGCAUGGUUGUCGUCAGCUCGUGUCGUGAGAUGUUGGGUUAAGUCCCGCAACGAGCGCAACCCUUAAGCUUAGUUGCCAUCAUUAAGUUGGGCACUCUAAGUUGACUGCCGGUGACAAACCGGAGGAAGGUGGGGAUGACGUUAAAUCAUCAUGCCCCUUAUGAUUUGGGCUACACACGUGCUACAAUGGACAAUACAAAGGGCAGCGAAACCGCGAGGUCAAGCAAAUCCCAUAAAGUUGUUCUCAGUUCGGAUUGUAGUCUGCAACUCGACUACAUGAAGCUGGAAUCGCUAGUAAUCGUAGAUCAGCAUGCUACGGUGAAUACGUUCCCGGGUCU